rnacentral:rRNA from 1 species
GACGAACGCUGGCGGCGUGCCUAACACAUGCAAGUCGAACGCUGUUGCGAACGCGUGUGUAACGCGUAGGUAACUCUCUCAUAGCGGGGGAUAACAAUUGGAAACGCUAGCUAAUAUCCCAUACUGUGAGCUGGAACUGCGUUGUAUUAGCUAGUUGGUGGGGUAAAGGCUCACCAAGGCGACGAUACAUAGCCGGCCUGAGAGGGUGAACGGCCACAUUGGGACUGAGACACGGCCCAGACUCCUACGGGAGGCAGCAGUAGGGAAUCUUCGGCAAUGGACGGAAGUCUGACCGAGCAACGCCGCGUGAGUGAAGAAGGCUUUCGGGUCGUAAAGCUCUGUUGUUAGGGAAGCGGUACCUGAACAGAAAGGGACGGCUAACUACGUGCCAGCAGCCGCGGUAAUUC